rnacentral:lncRNA from 1 species
GGGAAAGCAAGAGGAGAGGAGUAAUUAAGGAUUUAGUGUGAUCCUCUUGAAACAGCUGGAGAGGCUUUAGGAGACCAGAUUACAUGCACAUUGGUUGGUAUUAUUACCCCUGGAAUCAAAAAGAAUAUGAAAAAUGAAGAGUGGGCUAACAUUUUAAAAUGAUGGGGCAAUGGGUUGCCAGAAAGGUACUUCCAGGAUGUCUUGAAACCUAUUUGGAAGAAAGUCACCAAUCAGAUGAAGGGGCUUGUGAAGUGAUAUUUGAUGGGAAUGGAAGAAAAGUACUGGAGAGGGGUGGCUGAGGAACGAGAGAUCAAGGGAUAUGCUGCUAAAACACUCAAGAAGCAAAUGGAGGUUUCUCUGUGCCUCCCAGGAGAGACGAGGAGGAGAUGCAGGGAUAAUGUUCACAGGAGCCAUUAGAGAGCCACAGCAGCAAGAGCCGCCAUUGGCUCCAUCUUGGAAAGCCCCCAGCUUUCCUGCAAAAAGAACGCUGGAUCCCCCUGGAACCUGGAAGUUUCUAACCCUUUCAGGAGCUGCAGCAUUAUCUAAGCAAAACUAUGUCUGCCCAGGGGAGAGAGGAACAAUGUGGCAAAGCAUCUCUCUGAAGUAUUUAAUGCAAUUUGUCCUUCCAACAACUCAAUCGCUACCUCCACUGAGAAGGGAAGAGACACCUCUUAAAGAUCUGCAGCGGUGGCUCAUGAGAUGGUGGCUGCUGUCUUUUAUACUAGAACACACAGGGAGAGCAGAAGGAGCAUUCCCAAGUGGCUAGACCUAUAUAAAGGAACAGCAGAGCAGUCAAUGUUGACCUCUGAAGUGGAGAUGGCUGAUGGUUGGUUUGGAGGAGUUGAGGAAAAGAACUAUCUGUUGCCAACCCACAGAUCCCUGAAAGACAACAGACAACUGAUGUAUGAAGACUGUGCCUUGUGAAUGUUUCCCUCAAGAACCUGGGACAUAGAGAACCAAGGCAAGUUGGAGAGCGAGGGCAAAUUCCCUCU